rnacentral:rRNA from 1 species
GACGAACGCUGGCGGCGUGCUUAAUACAUGCAAGUCGAACGGAAAGGCCCUGCUUUUGUGGGGUGCUCGAGUGGCGAACGGGUGAGUAACACGUGAGUAACCUGCCCUUGACUUUGGGAUAACUUCAGGAAACUGGGGCUAAUACCGGAUAGGAGCUCCUGCUGCAUGGUGGGGGUUGGAAAGUUUCGGCGGUUGGGGAUGGACUCGCGGCUUAUCAGCUUGUUGGUGGGGUAGUGGCUUACCAAGGCUUUGACGGGUAGCCGGCCUGAGAGGGUGACCGGCCACAUUGGGACUGAGAUACGGCCCAGACUCCUACGGGAGGCAGCAGUGGGGAAUAUUGCACAAUGGGCGGAAGCCUGAUGCAGCAACGCCGCGUGCGGGAUGACGGCCUUCGGGUUGUAAACCGCUUUCGCCUGUGACGAAGCGUGAGUGACGGUAAUGGGUAAAGAAGCACCGGCUAACUACGU